rnacentral:rRNA from 1 species
CACUUUGUCUUUAUGGCAAAUGUGAGAUGCAGUGUAUGGAAUGUCAAAUUUCUAGUAUGAGAAAUUAACGAUUUAAGUCCUUCUUAAAUGAGGCCAUUUACCCAUAGAGGGUGCCAGGCCCGUAUAACGUUAAUGAUUACUAGAUGGCAUUUCCAAAGAGUCGUGUUGCUUGAUAGUGCAGCACUAAGUGGGUGGUAAACUCCAUCUAAAACUAAAUACAACCAUGAGACCGAUAGUAAACAAGUACCGUGAGGGAAAGUUGAAAAGAACUCUGAAUAGAGAGUUAAAUAGUACGUGAAACUGCUUAGAGGUUAAGCCCGAUGAACCUGAAUAUCCAAUAUGGAAAAUUCAUCAUUAUGAUUUUAAUGUUUUAUAAUAUUAAAAUAAUGGUGUGCAUUUUUUCUAUAGAAGACAUUGUAAUCUAUUAACAUAAAUAAUAUUUAUCAUAAGGUCAAUUGCAACAGUUUAUUUAAAUUAUUUUGCUUGCAAUUUAACAUAGAAUAAAUGCUUUUGAUUUGAUAAAGUGUUGAUAGAUUUAUUAUAUAUAGUACUUAAAUAUAUAUAUAUAUAUUUUAUAAUAGCAUAUUAAUUAUUAAUUUUUAUGUUUUUUAUAUGCACUUAUAUGAUUAACAAUGCGAAAGAUUCAGGAUACCUUCGGGACCCGUCUUGAAACACGGACCAAGGAGUCUAACAUAUUUGCAAGUUAUUGGGAAUAAAAACCUAAUAGCGAAAUUAACAUAACUAAUAAUGGGAUUAGUUUUUAGCCUAUUUAUAGUCUAUUAAUUCAAUCCCGGGGCGUUCUAUACAGUUAUGUAUAAUAAUAUUUAUAUUAUUUAUACCUCUAACUAGAACGUACCUUGAGCAUAUAUGCUGUGACCCGAAAGAUGGUGAACUAUACUUGAUCAGGUUGAAGUCAGGGGAAACCCUGAUGGAAGACCGAAACAGUUCUGACGUGCAAAUCGAUUGUCAGAAU